rnacentral:rRNA from 1 species
AAAGGAAUAGACGGGGGCUUACACAAGCGGUGGAGCAUGUUGUUUAAUUCGAUGCUACGCGAAGAACCUUACCCGGGUUUGACAUGUGUGUGGUAGGAGCCUGAAAGGGUAACGACCCUACUUUGUAGGGAGCACACACAGGUGCUGCAUGGCUGUCGUCAGCUCGUGUCGUGAGAUGUCGGGUUAAGUCCCUUAACGAGCGCAACCCUUGCUUGUAGUUACCAGCGGGUAAUGCCGGGAACUCUACGAGGACUGCCGGCGUCAAGUCGGAGGAAGGUGGGGACGACGUCAAGUCAUCAUGGCCCUUACGUCCGGGGCGACAAACGUGCUACAAUGGUAGGUACAGAGGGAAGCAAGCCCGCGAGGUCAAGCAAAUCCCCAAAAGCCUACCCCAGUUCGGAUUGGAGGCUGAAACCCGCCUCCAUGAAGUUGGAAUCGCUAGUAAUCGCGGAUCAGCCAUGCCGCGGUGAAUGUGUUCCUAAGCCUUGUACACACCGCCCGU